ACCGCGGCUGCUGGCACGUAGUUGGCCGGGGCUUCUUCUGCAGGUACCGUCAAUUUCGUCCCUGCUGAAAGCGGUUUACAACCCGAGGGCCUUCAUCCCGCACGCGGCGUCGCUGCGUCAGACUUUCGUCCAUUGCGCAAGAUUCCUAACUGCUGCCUCCCGUAGG
rnacentral:rRNA from 1 species